rnacentral:rRNA from 1 species
ACGAACGCUGGCGGCGUGCCUAACACAUGCAAGUUGCGCGACGAACCAGGGCUUGCCCUGGGGCAAAGCAGCGAACGGGUGAGUAACACGUGGGUAACCUACCCCGAUAACCGGGACAACCCGAGGAAACUCGGGCUAAUACCGGAUGUGCUCACUGGACUUCGGUUCAGUGCGUAAAGGAAGCUUCGGCCUCCGUAUCGGGAGGGGCCCGCGGCCCAUUAGUUUGUUGGUGAGGUAACGGCUCACCAAGACCGCGAUGGGUAGCUGGUCUGAGAGGACGAUCAGCCACACUGGGACUGAGACACGGCCCAGACUCCUACGGGAGGCAGCAGUGGGGAAUCUUGCGCAAUGCGCGAAAGCGUGACGCAGCAACGCCGCGUGGGGGAAGAAGGCCUUCGGGUUGUAAACCCCUUUCAGGAGGGACGAAGGUUCGGCGGUGAAUAGCCGUCCGGACUGACGGUACCUCCACAAGAAGCCCCGGCUAACUACGUG